rfam:Puccinia triticina 1-1 BBBD Race 1 supercont2.101, whole genome shotgun sequence.
GCGUCUGUAGCCUAGUUGGUAAAGGCAGCACUCUAGUAUGUGUCUCGGCAUAUCUGAGGUCGUGAGUUCAAAUCUCACCAGACACA